GGGCGGUUAGCUCAGUUGGAAGAGCGCAUACUUGACGUGUAUGAGGUCAUAGGUCCGAGCCCUAUACCGCCCA
rnacentral:tRNA from 1 species